UGAGAGCGCCAGUGGACACUAUAUGAAGAAUGUAUGAAAUGAAGAUAAUGAGCCGGAAACAACCUCCCAUAAUAACUCCCAGGCAUUACUGCUAUGAAACAAGGCCCAAAAUCUCCUCCCUUGUCUCUCCUCAGCUCCUCGUAAAAGCUUGGGAUCGAUCUAAUUAAGGUGUUGAAAUCAUUACUGAAGAGAUCGUUUUGGAAAAUUUGAAACAUGGGUUCCUUCUUAUUUAGUUUCUUUCGUAUCGUAUCAAUAGAAUCUAUCAUUUCCCUAAAAACUAGUAGCGCGUUGGGACCUGAAGAGCAUCCAAAUCUGCCAGUUUCAAGCAUUCAGGGAAGCUAUCUAGACAGAGCUCUCUUAGGGUUUCUUGCAGUGCUAGUAUUGCCCUGGACAUAACCUGUUUCUGUAUUUAUGCGUACGGACAGCAAGUUAGUUACAACAUUGAAAUCAAUAAUAUGCAUGUUUUGAAUCUUCAUUUUUCUUUUGUACUUAAACCAACCUCUUGCAAGGUUUAUGAAAAAAAGAGCAACAUCUUGCAAGUGAGUUACAUCGCUUUUGAUUGAAACGAUUAGGAAUGUCAAAUAGGCUCAAACUUUGGAUUGGGUUCAGGCGUGUUCUGCUGUCUCAGAGGUGAUUACAACAAAGAAUAUGACGGAAUGACAUGAUUGUCGAGUGAGGUAGGCCAUCGCGGUUCGAUCCACAACAAGUCAUGGCUGAAGGUUGUAGGUGUUGCCUUGGGUUCAAAAAGAGUUGCGUUUGGAUUUGCUGGUGAAAAUCCUCCAGAUCUGAAGGGAACAAGCCUCCAGAUAUGGAGGCUCGGCACCGCCUCCACAAUCAUAAAGGUCUCGAUGGUGAUGCCGAACUUGCUGAGACCUUGACAGCAGUGGAGCCCAGGUUGCAGAUCGGUGCCGGCAAGCGUGAUCAAGCUGGUGGCACCGAUCCGGAUGAGGCGUCGGCAGUGGGCAACGACAGUAUGAUACGAGGGUGGAGAGAGAGAGAGAGAGAGAGAGAGAGAGAGAGAGAGAGAGUGAGUGACCUGGACGAAGGAAUUCUGGGCAUAACUAGCUCUUCCUUCUCCUCCAUUCAUGCAAAGACUCUGAUCCAUGGUUGGAGGAAGGGCCACUUUCAGCACUGUAAUCUUAGCUUCAUUUAUCGUUUCCCUGCCCGUACCUUCAUAUUUUAGAAGUAGAUUCAUAAUGGAAAAAGCUUAGCCGACAACACUCUCUCAACCACAUACUUUGGGUGGGUUUCCAUCUUUAACCAUUUUUUUUUUAAUUUUUAUGUUUAAGGGGUUGUUAUCUUAAAUUUGUCAAAUCUAAGUUCUCAUGUCCCCCUACUUUAACAUCCAGCUCUUGAAAGGUUGGCUUCCUCAACCAGUUCCAUUUUUACUCUAUUUUUUUCCCAAGAUUUAUAUAAUUCUUUAUCCAAGCUCAAAUCGAGAAACAAAUCAAAGUAAUAAUAUUCACACAAUAAGAAACAAAUCCUACAAUAUUUUUCAAAUAAUAAGAAAUAUAUGAAGAAUUGAAUUGCAACUUUUAAAAUAGUGUGUAUUAUUUUUUGGCCAAAAGAAAAUAUUAUGUAGAUAUAUUCCCAAAUAAAAAAUAAUAAUAACUCAAAAAAUGGGAAUGUAAUUAUCUUUUCUUUUUCUUUUUUACAGAAUGUGUAAUUAUCUUGUACACUUUGAACUUCGAUUGUUGUACGAUUUUGCAAUUGAAUAAGUCAUAACUGUGGAGAAAAGUUUGUUAAUCUCUACUUUUCUUAUUGCAAGAAAGUAGGAAUAUUCAUUGUUGUCGAAUUUUACUUUCUAUGACAUAUAAUUCUUAAUAUUUUCAUGACAUCUUAUUUAGAUUAAUGGAGUUCGUAUUGAAAGCAACUUUGCCAAUGAAAAUAAUGGUGGUGAUGAGGACAAGAUGAACAAUGCAACCGAAGAUACUAAUCAUGAAAGCGCCACAAUACCAGAGAACAUGAAAAUUGAAUCUUGCAUAGGCAUGGAGUUUAAUGCUUAUGAUGAUGCUUACGCAUUUAUAACAAUUAUGCUAAAGAAGCGGGAUUUGGCAUUAGAGUGUUAAGCUCAUACAAAAGAAAAGGUAGCAAGGAAAAAUGUGGUGCAGUACUUUGUUGCAGUUGUCAAGGGUACAAGUCGAAAAGAAGUAGGUUAAUUCAAGACCGAGAACAAAAUGCAGUUGUCCAGCAAUAGUUAGAGUACAUCUAGUUAGGCCUCAUAAGUAGGAAAUAACAAAGUUGUUCUCAAUCAUAAUCUUUUUACAUCUCCUUGAAGCGCUAGAUUCUUUACAUCACACAGAAAUAUCGAAUCCAUAACAAAAGGAAAAAUCGAGUUGUAUUGUGAUGCAAGGAUUAGAACAAAUAAAUCGUUUCAAGCGUUUGUGGUUGAAGAAUGAGGACAUGAGAACUUAAAUUUGACAAAUUUAAGAUAUUAAAUAGAACCCUCAAAUAUGAAAAAAAGAAAAUAGAAAAAUAGGGUAAAAGAUAGAAACCGUUUGAAAAAGUCAACCGGUUUCCAACCAAAAUGUGGGGUCCUUAGUUGAUCGUCACUCCGUCAUUUCAUGGAGAAUGGUCAGCUAAGCCAGACAUUCAUAAUUAACCAUAAAAUUCAAAAGAAAUUAAAAGAGUUUUGCUAGUGUGAUGGUACUGUUAUGCUAAGUUUCUAAUGGUGCCAUGUUGACCACAAUUUUCACUCCAAUAAGAAAUGGCUACUAGAAGUUUGUAGGUAAUAUGAUUCUUUCCAUAAAAACUAAAUAAAUUCACACUGAAGAAAAUGAAAUUUAGAAACCAUUCUUUGCUCCUCCUAACUACUUCUUUUGAAUUUAAAUCUUCAUCCCAUCUCUCCUCUAUGAACUACUUUGCAAUAUGAUCUUUUUUUUAGUUAAUCUUCACUUUUUUAUAAUGGAAAUCCACAUUUUACAACGUUUCCUCUUGGUAAAUGUUGCAAUAUCUAUAUCUCAUUAAAUAAAACAAGAAACUUAUGACAUUCACUUGCUCACAUUAAAAUUAAUAUAUAUAUAUAUAUAUAUAUAUAUAUAUAUAUAGAUAAAAAAAUCCACAUUUUAUUAAGUUUUGAACUUAUGACAUACCGUCCAAAAUUCAUUGUAUACCACGGUAAUUGUAGGAUUUAAAUUUCAUAUUUUCUUGUACUUUACAAUAUAUUGCACUCGAUUACAAUAAAAUGUUGUACAAUGCUGGUGCAAUUUUGAAAAAUUAGAUAAAAAUGCAUUUUAUGACAUCGCGUGUAGUUGAUUACCAUCAAACAUAAUGAAUCUUUAGAGAAUAUCGUAAAAUAUAAAAAAUAUUUUUUAUGAUGUUUUGUAUUUAAUCACAUCCUCAUAUUGUAAAUUUGCAAAUUUUGAUUUUUUUUAUUGUUUUUUUACGAGCUACGCUAGUCGAAUUUAAAUGGAAAAUGUCAGAAUAAUUCUUUUUGGUUGGUCAUAUCCUUGAUGGAAUAAAGAGGUCAUGUGUCACGCCUCAAACCCCGAGCAUGCGCACAUUCCUCGGUGGUUGAUAAAAUUGCAACGUCCCAAGACACGUCGCUGACCCAUCUAUUUUAAUACACAUGCGGAAGCGUAUAAUAAAAUUCCCAAACAACACAAGUAUGGGAUAGAAAAGCAGGAUAUCAUUUUCACAAAACACUUUUCAUAAACAAGCUAAGUUUAUUUACAACACUAGACUAUAAACAAAGAUCUAAACCAAAAGAAGAGCCACCCAGCUAACUAGGCAUAGGACUCUUUGGCCGAGACCUCUGAGACCUCCGGGGGAUCUGGGUCUUCCACGACGUUGAUCGCAACGGCAGGGAUGUUGGAACCCUGUAGGGGACCUUCCCUGAUUCCAUUGAUCCCAUAGUGAAACCACGCCCUGAAUCGAUGAGGUACAAACUGUGGUUGGCCCUCAUCGACCAAGAUAGUGGUCAUUAUGAGCUCAUGGAGCUAGGGACUCCCGGGGAUAGGGACGUUAGUACUCUACUUCGUAUACCCCAUCGGCUUGUGACGGCCUGAAUUUUCAAAAUUUGUUUUCAAUUAAAUAAAUCGGGCCUUUCAUCGAUGCACCGAUAGUACUAUUCUUUGAGCUGAUCACUCAUGAGAUAACUAGACUAUCUGGGGAAGCCAUUAAGGGAUUUUAAUGCGAUAGACUUGAUAAUUCAACUAGGAAUUGAUUUCUUGACCAUGUUAAUCUGCAAGAGUCAUUACGGCACUGUCGAAAUCGAUAAGAGACCGGAGAUAGGUUGAUUUGACUGAGAUAUGUGAUCAAAGUAUAGAUGAUUCUACUUGAUUGCAAAAUACUCGUCAAUCGGCACUAGACCGAUUUUUCUAUCGUUUUGGUACCUGGUACUUGUAAUUGAAAUAUUGAGAUUUUCACGACAACUGAGGGUCAUCAAUGAGUCGAAAAGGUACAUUGUGACUCGAGAUAAAUUGAUCACGGGUCAAUUGCACUAAAAAUUCCUAAAAGCUACUAAAAUUGAUUCAAAUCGAAAUUAACCGCGAAUUUGAACCUAAUUUCAAAAAUUGAAAGUUCUGUAAUGUCAUGAUUUAUUUUAGGAACAUUGACUCAUCCUAUGAAUUUUUUUUGGAGAUUCGGAGGUUUUUACGGAAAAUUGUUUCGAACGUUGCGAAAAAUUAGCGAAAAUUCGGAUGAGCCAAAUUAAAGAAAAUUUGGACUUCCAAGCCAAGCCUUUGAGUGUUGGGGACUUACAAAAAAUUGUUUGGGAUUUUUCUUCAGUGAAAUCGGACCUCGAUUUGGAUAAUGGAAGAUGAAAUUGAAGUAUAAAAUUAGUGAAAUUCGGAUCCCUCCCUCUGUGCUGCCUUUUCUUCAUUUUUCCCAUAGCGUCAAACCAUCGAAGCUGCUCCAUUUUUCGCUUUGUUUCUCUGCCACGAAGGUAGCUUGCUGCCAUCUCCUGCAGCUUCACCCACUGAAACAUCCACCAGAGUCAACCAGCAGAGCCGGUUUGUUGACUCCUUCGCUGGCUCUCUUCCAUUCGGCCCACAACCCACCGAAGCAUCGUCCACGCGCUUCCCAGCUUCUGCUGAAGCCACGCCAGCCCACUUCUCGAUCAAAAUCGGCAAAUUCUUCAGCGAAGCCCAGCCCUCGAUCACUCCUCUCUUGUUCGCAACUCAGCUCCUCACGCAUCUUACUUCUAUCCGUGCUCAGCUUCUGCGAGACGUCCCACCGGUCAACUUCUCUCCCUUGAAGCCCCAAGGUUGACCCCUCCCCACGUGUCCCGCAGCACCAAAGCAGCCAGCUUCCAUUUCCCCUGCCAGCGAAGCCACCAUCAAUUGUUUUAUUCCAUCGAGCAGUCCAGCAUCUUCGUUCGUGUCUUCUCCAGCAACAUGUCUUCGGCCCAAAUCCGCAGCAGCCCAUGAAGACCUGCAGCCCGCGCGUUUUGUUUCCUCAGCUCGCCUCAACGGCCCAACUCUCUGCAGCCCAACUCCCCUGCAAACUAGAAUUGAAGUCAGCCCAUUUCAGCCCAUUUGGAAGCCCAGCAAAUUGCCAUUUUCAGCAGCUAAAGCCCGCGAAGCAAGCCCGACCCAACUCAAGAAAAAAUCUCAACUUGGGCUGAGAUUUGUUGGGCCAAUUUUAGGCCCAGUCCAAAACCGUUGUUGCUGCUGCAAUUCGGAAUUCGGCCGCCGUCAUGCCACCGUCAUGGUGGAUAGUUAGUGCAAGUAGAGCUUAGACAAACUCUAAUAUUUAACUAGAGUGGUUUGGUAAUUUUUCGGACCUGUUUCGGCUUCCAAUUAGGAUUUUCCGAGCCUAAGUCUAUUUACUUGUAUUUAUUUAUUAAUUUUCAUAAUUAUUUAAUGAAUUAUUUAUUUUCCGAAAAUUCAACCUGGAUGGUCAGUGACUGGAAUUUCAUGCUGAUUGCAGUGGUGCUCUCUGUUUAUUUAAUUGAGCACUAGAUCAUGAAAAUUGAGUGACUUGACGAUUAUGUAGGGAUUUAUCCCAAAAUUGAUUAGUGUCGAUAUUCAAUUGGAAAUUGAUUGUGAAAGGUUAUGAGUAGAUCUAGAAAACCGCUGAAGUAUGGCUGUACUAGUUGGGCCGAGAUUCGCCACCGAAUUUGGAGUCAGUCGUGCCCAAUCAGGCCGUAAUUUGGCACCUGUUAAAGGUCGCGCCCAUCGAGCCAUGAUUCACCACCUAAUAGAGGUCGUGCCUAAUAAGGUUGUGAUCUACCACCUAUUAAAGGUUGCAUCACUGGGCCAUGAUUACUAUCUAAAGAUAGGUUGUGUCCUUAGGACCGUGAUUCAUGAUUGAGAAUUUUAUAGACUCUGCUCAUUGAGUCAUGAUUAAGAAGUGAGAUUGAAUAGAUGAGAUGAUUGGGAAAUGGUUUUGAUGACAUAUAAUCGACUGGGUCGAUUGAUCAAUGGUUCAAUUUGUUCAUUGGAUGCUGUGAUUGUUAGUAUUUAUGAUUUGAACUGACUUGUAGGAAGGAACUGAGGCCAAGGUAAGUCCUCUCACGCCUGAUUGUGCUUAGGCAGCCCUUAGGGCGUAAUUUUCUUCCUAAUAGAGUCUUAGGGAGUAGAACUUGUUGAGACGUUGUCUCACUCGUUGUGGGAUAACAUUUUUAGGUCCUUAGGUGACGGCUAUAGAGUCGAGAGUCCCGGAGUUUGGGAAGGUGGAAGAAGCAUAAUCAACGAACCUGUAUGGCUAGUUAGUCAUAGGACAAUUCCUUAAAAUCAGGACCCAUGUAUGACUUGUUGUGGUUUGAAAAGUUUGGCCCUGCUUUCCUAUUCCAUUGUUUUAUUAUUUGGGGAUAUUUAUAUGCUUCCACAUGUGUACUAAAAAGAAUGGGUCGGCGAUUUGUUCUGGGACAUCGCUAUUAAUCAACCAAGGAGGGAUAAGCACAUACUCCGAAGAUCGGGGCGUGACACGGCUUCCCAAAACACACUGGAGGAACUGCCAUCUACGGACCUAAAAAGAAUUGAACCCAUGAUGAGGUGAGACAACGUCUUAGUAAUUCCACCCCCUAAACUCCAACUAGGAAGAAAAUACGCCUAGCCAUAUAACCACAAAGACUCACCUCCCCUUAGUUCCUCCUUACAUGUCAGCACAAUUCAUAUUGCAGACAUAAGCAAUAAUAAUACUCAAUCAAUUGGAACGCCACACCUCACACAGCCACAGGGGUCCCGAUUAUAAGGCUAAAUCGUUAUAACACAUCCCAUACUGUGUGCUACAUGAUUUUUUCCCAUAAUCAGGCGCGUCAAUUUCACUCAAUCAUGUGUUCUAAUUUUUAUCACAGCCCAAUGAGCACGGCAUAUUCGACGUUCGGCAGUCUUCUGGCAUAACCAGACAUCGCCUCAUCCCUUGAGCACGGCAAUGUCCACCCGACACACAUUGGGGACGGCAUUCCCAAAGGAGCUUCGGUCUGACCUCUACCAUGAUCUGACAUCCAUUGAUAAGGCAUCCCAUAUAGGGGCAACGUCUACUUGAUGUACAUCGGGGACGGGUUCUCUUAACCAACACACAAUCAUUCAAUCUUGGCCAAGAACACUGUGCAUUGCACUUAAAUGCCUCGAUUAAAAUAGUGAAUUUGACUUAUUUUCUUCAUAUUAAAAACACACGGUAAAAUAAUCAUGUGUGGGUACAUGGUCAAUUUGAACCAGAAAAAUUGAUACCCUUCCUUUUUAAAAUCCCACUAUUUGAUAUAGUCUUUAAAACUAUUUUCUGUGUCAAAACCCGACACCCGGGAUUUUCUAAUUAAAUACUGAAAUUUCACAAUUUUGGAAUAAAUAACCAAAAUUUUAAUCACCGGUCAAUUUGCACAAUAUAACAACACUCAAUUGCAUAAACUAAGCACACUACUACAAUCGGCACGAAAUUCCAAUCAUUGGCUAUCCUGGUAUAAUUUAUGAAAAAAUCAAAUAAUUAAAUAAAUAGCAAAAAUAAUAAAUAUGCAAAUUAAAUACAAUAAAUACUAACUUAAGCCGAAAACGUUAAACUAACCACCUAAACGGGCCUAGAAAAUUACCACACGUAUCUAGAUAAAUAGUACAAUCUAAUUAGCCCUUAAUUAGUCUAUUCUAACCACCUAACAAGCAUAAUUAAAUAAUUAGAUCACUAAUAUGGACUAACUAACCACUUAAUCCAUACUUAGUUUAAACUAAUUAUCCGCUAAAUGUAAUUAACUCCCUAAGUAGAGUUUAGCAAGUAAACUCAUCGGUUUAGCGGGCCGGUGAGUCCACGGUGAAGGUGAUCAACACUCGAGCCUACGGCGAUACCAAUGGAGGUCUAAACGAGCCUUAAAACGAGCCCAGAAACCUCAGCCCACAGAUAAAGUUCAACUUUUGCUUCAUAGGCCGAGAAGGCUGGUCAGAGCUUGGCUUGGGCUAAAACAAACCAAGCGGGUUGGCGGAGGUUGUAGCGGGUGACGAUGAUGCUCGACAGUGGCAGAUGGUGGCCAGAUGAACUGCGACAGUGGCCAGGGUAGCUCGGGACGGCGACUAGGUGCGAGUAGGAGGCGGGAAGAGCACGUGAGCACGAGGGACGCGUGGAUGGCUCGCGGGCAGCGUGCGACUAGUCUGGCGUCUUCAGGCAGUGGUCGACGGUCAGGGAGAGGCUACUAGCUAGUUCUCUGGUUCUCUCAAGCUCUCAAAUGCCUCAACAAUGGAUAAAGGAGGCCCAAUGAAGAAAAAGAAGGCUACUGAAGCAAGGGGGGACCCAAUUGGCCUCAAUGUCAACCAAAAUGUCCCAUUGUGCUCAUUGCUUGCCCCCACCACCUUCACCUCUCAAUUCUCAGCCAUUUGUUCACCCAAACUUCCCCAACAAGCCAUUGAAAUGGUCCAAAAAGUUGCAACGCCCCCUAGCUACGAAUUUUGUGGCAUUUGGCCUCCAAUUUCACUCAAUUCUCCUCCAAUUUGGCUCAAAUUGGAGUCUAUAAAAUCAGCCAAGGUGACAUCAUCCAUCUCAUGAUUUUUUCUCAUCAAGUGAACCAACUUGAUGACAAAAAAUGCGACCAAAAACGGCCAUUUAAUUUCCCGAUCCAAAAUAAUCUAACUUUGAUUUUUCACCGAAAUUUCGAGUUUGUAAAAAAAUCUUUGGAGGAUGAGUCGAUGUUCCUAAAAUGAAUUGUGACAUAAUAAAAAUUUCAAUUUCUGAAAUCGAGUUUAAAUUCGUGGUUAAUUUCAACUGGGCGCGAUUUUAGCAUGACCUAGCCUAUCGAGUAGCUUUUAGGAAUUUUUAGUACAAUUGACCCUUGGUCGAUUAUUUUCGUGUCACAUUGUACAUUUUCGACUCAUUGGCAUCUUUCAAUUGUUGUGAAGAUCUUGAGAUUUCAAAUACGAGCACAAGGUACAUAAAUGACAGAAAAAUCAGUUUAGUGUCGUUCGACUAGAACUUUGCAAUUAGGUGGAAUCACCCACACUUUAAUCACAUACCUCAGUCGAAUCGAUCUAUCUACGAUCGCUAAUCGAUUUUGAUAGUGUUGUAUUGACCCUUACAGAUUAGCAUGGUUGAUCAAUCGAUUUUUGGUCAAAUUCUCAAGUCUAUUGUGUUAAAAAUCCUUUAACGGCUUUAUCAGAUAGAUUAGUUAUCCCGUUAGUGAUUAGCUCAGGGAAAAGAACUAUAGGUGCGUCGAUGAAAAGCCCAACUCAUUCAAUUGAAAAUAGAAUCAGAAAUUCGGGAUGUCACACCAUGCAUUGAUGGAAUAUUUAAAUAUUAAAUCACAUUUUCAUCUAAUAGCUUGCAGACCAAAAAACAAAAAACUAAUAGUUAGAAUUUUUAGAAUAGCUGGGCAGUGGUCUCAUUGUAACUCAUAUUAUUUUAGAGCAGGAGUUCCUGAAUUUGAGUCUUUUCAAGGUCUAUUUGCCUGAAUCUUUUGAAGGUCUAUUUGUCUUCUCAAUGGUCCCAUAUAAUCUUACAUACCAAAGGAGAAAAAGAUUGAGCAAGAAAAGAGAGAGAGAGAGAGAGAGAGAGAGAAAAGAAAUAGAAGGCCAAGAGUAACAGUGUAGUUAGCUUCUCCUUUUCCCAAUUAGAAGUCUCGUCUCAACUCAUGUGGAUUUUAGAAGUAGAUCAUAAUGGAAAAAGCUUAGCCGAUCAUACUCUCUCAAUCACACACUUUGAUGGGUUUCCAUCUGUAGGAAUUCAAGUCAGUAGAAUACGACUUAUCUGUUUUCGAUGCGUAGUCAACAAUUUACUUCAGACCGAUUGUUGAAUUGCGGAUGAAUCACGAACAAUAUUACCUCACUUUGAUCUGAAUGUAAUUACGAGAAAAACAUCUGAUUUUCACAGUGUAAAUUCCAAUUGUUCUUGUAAAGAAGAAAUGUAACGCUUUCUUUUUCUUUUGAUAGAAAGGGGACAAGAAAAUGAGAGGAAUUUCUCUGAGGAUACAAUCUGCCAACCAUGCCAAGGGUUAUCUUCAGGAGUCUUUUAUAUGACUUCAUCACACCCUUUAAAAGGUGUCUUUCCAUCGUAGCAUAUCAAGACGAAACGGUGUGAUCCAAUCGCACUCCAUCAUGGAUGUACUAAUUAAGUACAACAUCUCCCACUCAAACAUGAUGGACUUGAUAGCGCUCUUUCAAGAGUAUAAGGCAUUCAACAUUCAUCAACUUUACAAAACAAUUCAUACUAGCAAAUAAGUAGUGUGACUAAUGAGUACACCUACACUUGGGAGCUCAAAUUAUGAACCUGUUAAGGAUGAAAUAAUGGAUAUAACCUUUUACAAAAAAUAAAUAAAUAAUGGCUAUAACCCCGAAAAGAAAUAAAUAAUCGAUGUCUCACAGUGCCCGAGACAUAUUUGGUUACAUCAAUCCAAGUAUACCUAUCUCUUAAAGGCUAUACUUGACUAUUCUCAAAACACCGUGUAUUUACAAUUAUAUCCGCAACCACAUAAAUCGAUAUAAUUGGUUAACUAGUAAAUACAUGUGAUAGAUUUAAAACAACAAUAAUCUUCCUUCGCACUCAUGUCUCUCUCCAUUUCAGAACAACUACUUUCCUAGACACGUCCCAUAAGGCCAUAUCUAUUCAUGGCCGCCGGUAACAUGCUAAAGUAGCAACAUUGAUCUUUCACUUCUAGAACAUAGUUAGAAGUUACAUAUGGGACAAAAUGAGAUAAAUUAUAAAUUACCUCAAGGGCUCACACGAUGAGUAAAUAGGGAUAAUUUUACUCACAUUCUCUUAUUGAUCGUACAAUACACAUGUAGUACGAAUUACAUGCUAUAGUAGAUUUCUCUUUCUAUAAGAGCGUAUGUUCUUUAUUAAAUAUAUUCACUAUACGGAUCUUAACCUAAACAUAGUCACGUACUUCUCAUGUACUCAUGUUUAGCUCGAGUGUUAUAUCGGCUCGCUUUCUAUAGCGCCCAAUUAAUAACUCACACCCGGCAUUUUACAGGCAUACAUAAUUAUGAGACUAUCAUGCUCGAUCUAAUUAUAACAAAUCACAGACCUCAUCUUGACUCCAAUCAAUGCGACAUAUUAUUUUAUGUACUAAACUUGCUCUUCAGCAUUUAUUUGUACAUAAAACCUCAUCUCAACAUGCUAACUAUAACACUUGAGGUGAUUGCUCGUGUGAGUGAGCCAAUCAUUACCUACUGACAUACUUUUCAAUAAUAUAUGUGUGUAUGUGCUAGUCUCAUAAUGGAUUUGUACUUAUUGAAAGAACAUCAAGUCACUAAUAAACAAAUAAGUACAAUACAUAUGUCCACAUAUACAUAAACUAAUGAUCCUCUAUAAUAACACAUAUCACAUUCUACGCAAUUCUAGUGACAUCUUGUGGGUCAAGAAUAUGUCUCUAGGAACAACUUUCGUAAAUGGAUCAGCAACCAUUCUAUUGGUUAAAAUGUAUUGAAGGAUCACUUAUUUAUGCGUUAUUAUAUCUCUAAUGAAGUUGUUCUUUAUGUCAAUGUGCUUUGUCCUUUCAUGAUACUUUGGAUCUUUCACAUAAGCAAUGGCUUCUUGACCAUCACAAUAAUCUAUCACCGAUCUUAAACCCUCAGUGAUAGUGACUAAAUUUUCCAAAAAACGUUUUAGCCAUACUGUUUCUCGCAUUGUGGCAGAGCAUGUAACAAAUUCUACCUCCAUCGUAGAUAAAGCCGUGCAUGUCUGUUUCUUGCUAUUUUAAGAAAUUGCACUUCCAUUAAGCAAGAACGCAUAUCCAAAAAUCGAUAAUCUAUGGUGUCUUUCAAGUAUCUCAGGAUCCUCUUCACUGCUUUCUUGUGUGCUUAACCAAGAUUUGAUUGAUAUCAGUCAUCAAUCCCACGGCACAACAUAUGUUGGGUCGAGUACACAUCAUAACAUAUAUCGAACUUCCAACCACACUAGUAUAAGGAACAAUUUACAUUACUUUAAUUUCUUUUGGAGUCUUAGGGCACAUCUUAAUACUUAGGCCUUCACCUUGCAUGACAGGGGUAUAAAUGGGAUUACAGUAUUGCAUAUUGAAAUGCUCAAGAAUCUUCAUUAUAUAAGACUCUUGUGAUAAAACAAGGAGUUUCCUUGAUCGAUCUCUUUCGAUCUUAACUCUUAAUAUAUAAGCAGUUUCUCACAUGUCCUUCAUUUCAAAAUUGGAGGAUAACCAUUCUUUUAUGGUGAUAACCAAAAUCUUAUCAUUUUCAGCCAAUAAAAUAUCGUUCACAUAAAAUGAUAUAAUUACAAAUUUAUCUUCGAACCGCUUGAUAUAUACACAGUGAUCUUAUUCAAUCAUCGUGAAACUAAAAGUCGUUAUAGCUUAAUGAAAAUGAAGAUACCACUAUCUAGAUGAUUGCUUAAGGCCAUAUAUUGAGUGAUGAAACUUGCAUACUUUAUUGAAACAUAUUGGUUGCUUCAUAUAGAUUUCUUUAUCUAGUUUUCCAUUAAGAAAUGUCGUCUUUACAUCCAUUUGAUGUAAUUCAAGGUCCAAAUGUGCAACAAUAGCUAUGAUAAGGCAUAUUGAGGCAAACCUUACAAUUGGCGAAAAGAUUUCCUCGCAAUCUAUACCCUCUUGUUGAGUAUAAUCUUUACACAAGACGAGCCUUAUACUUUAUGAUGGAUCCAUCUAUCCUUCGCUUAAUCUUAAAGACACAUUUGUUUCCAAUGGCCUUGCGAUUGGGUGGUAGAUCAACCAAGUCCCAAACGUGAUUUGCCUCCAUUAACUAAAUUUCAUCUUCCAAAGCUUUUCUCCAUUCUUCCUUAUUAGAGGAUGAAAGAGCUUCUUGAACAAUCUUAGGCUCGACAUCAUCUUUUUGAGCAAUCAUAAAUACUUCCCUUCAACCUCAAAAGAUGAUGAUGAAUACUUUUACGAUUACUUUUACGCAACUAAAUUUCUCUUGAAUUCAGAUCGCCAGGCAAUGCAACAUUCCCACUAGAUCUUAUAUGUUGAGGUAAAUCUUCAUUUCCCUUUACAACAUUAGUAGGUGUGUUAUUAGGAUCUUUCAUCUUAUAUAAUUGGAAGUCCUUAUCAAUCUCACCUCUACUCGAAAAAUCAUUCUCCAAGAACGUGACAUCUCGUAACUCUAUUUCGGUCACAUUUCCAUCAGCUUGUUCACCUAUAAACACAUACCCUUUUGAGUGUUCUAAAGAUCUUAUAAAUAUACAUUUCUUCCCUCUAGGACAUAAUUUGCCAUAUUUAUGAAAUGAAUCAUGAACAUAAGCUACACAUCCCCAUGGAUGUAGACUACUUAAGUCUGGUUUUUUACUAGUCCACAAUUCAUAAGGGGUGGAAGCGACCGAUUUUGAGAGCACUCGAUUAAGUACAUAGGUAGCAGUUAAUAACGCAUCUCCCCAAUAAGAGAUAGGUAAAUUUACUUAUGUCAUCAUAGACCUAACCAUUUCCAAUAGGGUUCUAUUACUUCUCUCAGCUACCCCAUUUUGUUAUGGAGUACCAUGAAUAGUCAAUUGUCGUACCAUUCCAUUUUCAUCACAAAAAGCCUUGAAUUGCUCCGAUAGAUACUUACGUCCGUGAUCGGUUCUCAAUGCCUUUAUUGUUUUGUUCAACUAAUUCUCUACCAUCGUUUUAUAUUGUCUAAAGCAGUCUAAUGCUUAUGACUUAUGAAAGAUUAAAAAAAUAAUAAUAAUAACUAAAACACGUGAAGUCAUCGACGAAAGUGAUGAAAGAUGAGACUUCAAGCCUCGCCCUCAUAUUCAAAGGACCACAAAUGUCAUAAUGUAUGAAUUGCAAUGGAAAUUCGGUUCUAGUCCCUUUACCAAAUGGUUUUCUAGUUGCUUUUCCCGCUAGACAAUGUUCAUAUACGAGUAGUUCAACAUUAAUGAGUGACCCUAAAAGGCCUUUUCUAGUAAUCUUUGCAUUCUUUGCAACCCAACGUGACCUAAUCUAACAUGCCAAGUACUUGCAUCAAUCUUAACAUUACUAAAAGAUGCAAUUAAAGAAAAAACAACCAUCGACAUUAAAUUGUACUAAUUAUAGUCAAUGUCUAACACCAUAAAAUCAUUCGAUACAUGACACGAACCAUAAUACACCGUUCCACACAAAAUGUCAACACAAUCACCAUGAAAAUUCAAUACAUAACCUAGGCUAAGAAGAACAAGUACGGAGACCAAGUUUCGUCGAAUAUCUAGAGCAUAGAGGACAUAGUGUAGGAAUAGGUUUUAACCACCACGUAAAAUUAAUUUACAUGUGCCGAUACCGUUCAUUUCAAUUCUUGAGUUAUUCCCAACAUAUAUCCAUCUUCUUCCAGGCUGUAUAUGACGAUACUACACAAAUGCUUCUUGGUCUCUAGCUAUGUGAUUUGUUGCUCUUGAGUCUACAGUCCACAUUGGAUGAGAUUCAACAAGCAUUACAGUGCUAGAAACAAAAGGAUUACUUAAAGUAAUGGAGUAAUAGAGUACCUCUUUCGGCUUAGUGUGUUCGCGAGCAAAGUGACCCAUAUUGCCACAAUUGUAACACUUCAUCUUGGUCUUGUCUUUCUUCCCACCACGCUUCUUAUGUUGGAAGGCCUUAGCCAUUUUAAGUGCUUGAUCAAUCAUCUUCCUUUUGUUGUUGAAUUAAUGAUUCCUUUUGUGCUUGAAGCUUGAAACUUUGCGCGAACUCAACUCAGCAACAUAAGCAUGAGUAGAGGAUCCCGCAGCCUCUAGGCGCUCAUCCUUUAUUUCCAAAUGACGUGCUAUGUCAUCAAAAGUGGCAAUAUUCUCAUUAUGCGUCAUAUUAAUGUUCAUAUGCUCCCAACUGUCAAGAAGAGACCUUAUAACAGCCUGAACUUGUUGUUAAUUAGUAAGGGAGUGACCUACCGACUUUAGCUCACAAUCAUAUUUGACAUCUCCCAAAGAUGCUGCCUCAUCGUUACAUUUGGGCACUUUAAGUAUGUGUCAAAUUUGAUGGCGAGUCUCCUCAAUUUAGUGGCAGAUGUAUCCCUAAACUUAUCUUUCAAGGCAACUCACAUAACUUGAGCUUUAUCAUAACUUUCAAACUCACACAUGAGAUCAUCUUGCAUACAACUUAGCAACGUGAUGCAAGCAAUGCUAUUUUCCUUUUCCAAGCUUGAUAAGCUUCUAGAUAUCUCCUAUGUUGAGCUGAAGUUCCAUGCUCAGGUUCAUCUAUGGUGUGGUUGAGAGUGUCCAAAACCUCUUGCUUCUUAAGGAUGUAUUGAACCUUUCGGUGGCAAAUAUCAUAAUUGUCACUGUUUAACUUCUUACCCUUAUUAAGGUCAGUCACUAUGGUCUUGGAUGCCGAAGCCAUAAUCAAUUGCUAUAACACAUUGAUAUAAUAAACGUAGAAUCAAUAUUAGCACACUUUUUAGAGUAACACACAUUAAUUUGCAGCAAAGACAAACCAAAUUAAUGAUAAUUCAACAAAAGACACAGAAACGAAAAGUUCACUAUGUUCCUAAUUAGCUCCUAUGUACGAUUGUUCUAUUGUUAUUAAUUAGUUUAAUUUGUGCAAAUUUUAAGUUCUAGGUGAGAACUCCUUCGAAUUCUACCAACCUACAAACUUCCACUAUAAAAAAUAAUUACAUGACCACAUGUACUUUUUUACAUUUUUCCAUUAACAUUAAAACAUAACAUAAUGUGAACCAACGUACAAAAAACAGUUAUGCUGCAACUACAAUCAAAACCGUAAUUCAACAUGGAACGGAAAUACAAGGAUUUCCUACCAUUGUUCGAAUUUUCUUGAACUAGAAAAUUACAAGUAUAUUAAACUAUAUACAUAAUACCAUUGAACCAAGCUCUACACAACAUAUAUGACAUCAUUUUCAUAUAGGCUAGCUACUGUAUUUCCUAAAACAUAAGAAAAUACAAGCUACAAAUGAAUAAACUAUGCAUUUAUACCCUAAAAAUACGCGUACUUAGGGUUAUGUAUACAUUUUUAUACAUUUAUAAAACUCAAAAGUAUAAAAUAAUUAUACCACAGUGUAGAGCUCAACAAUACAAACCAAAUGCCACCAACCACGCUCCAAUCAGAGUUCACACGUGCCCACACGCGCCACCUGAGCGUGCGGCACGUGUGACGCACGCGCGAGCAAGCCAAACGGCUCCUCGCCGGUCCAACCAGUUUGAUCGGCAACCGGUCUGAUCGGUUUGACCACCUGACCGGUCCAUCGGUCCGACCAGUUGACCGGUCAACGGUCGGAUUGGGUCGGGUCUCCAGACGAGUCGGGUCUCAGGUCAGUCGCAGGCUGGCAAUUGGCCGGCCAACUGUGCCGGUGACCGGCCGGCCAACUCUGCCGGCGAUGACGUCAUCCGGUAGUUAUCGACUGUUGGAUGACGUCUCGAUGACGUCACGGUGACGUUAGCACGCGUCAUUUCGUCAACGCAUGAGUGACGUUCAUGUGCUGGCAUGCCUAGUGUGUCAGGUGCGUGUAUCCCACACACAGUAGCUUCUGGCUACACGUGUAGGCACAUCCGGCGUCCUCUGGUGAUGCUCUACUCAUCGUCAAACUCGUCUCGACAAGUACUUUCACCUUAUACGUUUAAAAAUUUAUUUUGGCCGAAAAAGUAUUUCGAAAAAUGGCCAAAAACCAUACAGGUGUUUGCGACCCCGAACCCGUUCUUCGCUUCGGUUCAUUUUCAACGAUUCAAAUAGCAAUUCUAAGGAAUAAGCAUCCAAACAGUGUAGAUUUCAUACUCUUGAUCUCGAUAUCAAAUGGUAAACGAGAAAAUUCGAUGAAAAACAAGGCAGAAAUCACAACUUGGUUGUGAUACCAAUGUAGGAAUUCAAGUCGGCGGAAGACGACUUACCUAUUUCCGAUGCGCAGUCAACAAUUUACCUCAGAACGAUCGUUGAAUUGUGGAUGAAUCACGAACAAUAUUACCUCACGUUGGUUUGAAUGUAAUCACAAGGAAAACAUCAGAUUUCCACAGUGUAAAUGUCAAUUGUUCUUGUAAAGAAGAAAUGGAAUGCCUUCUUUUUCUUUUGAUGGAAAGGGGACAAGAAAAUGAGAGGAAUUUCUCUAAGUGUACGUUCUGCUCACCAUGCCAACGCUUGUCUUUAGGAGUCUUUUAUAUGACUCCAUCACAUCUUUUCAAAAGGUGUAUUUCAAUGUAGUAUAUCAAGACGAAACGGUGCGUUUCAAUCGCACCCCAUCAUGGACAUACUAAUUAAGUACAACACCAUCUUUAACUUUUUUAUUUUAAUUUUUAUGUUUAAGGAGUUGUAUUUAAUAGCUUAAAUUUGUCAAAUCUAAGUUCUCAUGUCCUCCUUCAACAUCCGGUGCUUGAAAGGUUGGCUUCCUCAACUAGUUCCAAAUUUACUCUAUUUUUCUUUUUCUUUUUUUGGCUGAGAUUUAUAUAAUUCUUUAUUGCAAGCUCAAAUUGAGAACAAAUCAAAAUAAUAAUAUUCACACAAUAAGAAACAAAUCCACCAAUAUUUUUCAAAUAAUAAGAAAUAUAUGAAGAAUUCAAUUGCAACUUUUAAAAUAGUGUAUAUUAUUCUUUGGCCAAAAGAAAAUAUUAUGUAGAUAUUAUUCCCAAAUAAAAAAAUUUAAUAACUCAAAAAAUAGGAAUUUAAUUAUCUUUUUUUUUUGGCAGAAUGUGUAAUUAUCUUGUACGCGUUUAACUUCGAUUGUUGUACGAUUUUGUAAUUGAAUAAAUCAUAACUGUGGAGAAAAGUUCGUUAAUCUCUACCUUUCUUAUUGCAAGAAAUUAGGAGUAUUCAUUGUUGUCAAAUUUUACUUUGUAUCUAUAUAUUUUAGAUAUACAAUUCUUAAUAUUUUCUAACAUCUCAUUCAAAUUGAUGGAGUUCGUAUUGAAAGCAACUUUGCCAAUGAAAAUACUGGUGGUGAUGAAGACAAGAUGAACAAUGCAAUCAAAGAUGCUAAUCAUGAAAGCAGCACGAUACCAGAGAACAUGAAAAUCAAACCUUGCAUAGGCAUGGAGUUUAAUUCUUAUGAUGAUGCUUAUGCAUUUUGAAACAAUUAUGCUAAAGAAGCGGGAUUUGGCAUUAGAGUGUUAAACUCAUACAAAAGAAAAGGUAGCACGGAAAAAUGUGGUGCAAUACUUUGUUGCGGUUGUCAAGGGUACAAGAUCGAAAAGAAGUAGGUUAAGUUAGGACUGAGAAAAAAAUGCAGUUGUCCAGCAAUGGUUAAAGUACAUCAAGUUAGGCCUCAUAAGUAGGAAAUAACAAAAGUCGUACUCGAUCAUAAUCAUUUUACAACUCCUUAAAGUGCUAAAUUCUUUACAUCACAUAGGAAUAUCGAGUCCAGAACAAAAGGAAAAAUUGAGUUGCACUGUGAUGCAAGGAUUAGAACAAAUAAAUCGUUUCAAGUGUUGGUUGUUGACGAAGGAGGACAUGAGAACUUGAAUUUGACAAAUUUAAGAUAUUAAAUAGAACUCCUCAAAUAUUAAAAAGGGAAAGAGAAAAAUAGGGUAAAAGAUAGAAACUAGUUGAAAAAGUCAACCGGUUUCCAACCAAAAUGAGGGUCCUUAGUUGACCGUCACUCCGUCAUUUGACAGAGAAUGGUCAGCUAAGCCAAACAUAUUCAUAAUUAACCGUAAAUUCAAAAUAAAAAAUUAAAAGAGUUUUGCUAGCAUGAUAGUACUGUGAUGCUAAGUUUCUAAUGGUGCCAUAUUGACCACAAUUUUCACCCCAAUAAGAAAUGGCUACUAAAAGUUUAUAGGUAAUACGAUUCUUUCCAUAAAAACUAAAUAAAUUCACAUUGAAGAAAAUGAAAUUUAGAAACCAUUCUUUGCUCCUCCUAACUACUUCUUUUGAAUUUAAAUCUUCAUCCCAUCUCUCCUCUAUGAACUACUUUGCAGUAUGAUCUUUUCUUCUUCUGUUUUUUGGUUAAUCUACAUUUUUUUUAUAAAGAAAAUCCACAUUUUACAACAUUUCCUCUUGGUAAAUGUUGCAAUAUCUAUAUUUCAUUAAAUAAAACAAGAAAAUUAUGACAUUCACUUAGUUACAUUAAAAUUAAAAUAUAUAUAUAGAUAAAAAAAAUCCACAUUUUAUAAAGUUUUGAACUUAUGACAUACCGUCCAAAAUUCAUUGUGUACCACGGUAAUUGUAUGAUUUUAAUUUCAUAUUUUCUUGUACUUUACAAUAUAUUUCACUUGAUUACAAUAAAAUGUCGUACAUUGGUGGUGCAACGUUGCAAAAUUAGAUAAAAAUGCAUUUUAUGACAUCAUGUGUACUUGAUUACCAUCAAACAUAAUAAACCUUUAGAGAAUAUCGAAAAAUAUAAAAUACAUAUGUAUAUAUGUUUUUUUAUGAUGUUUUGUUCACAUCCUCAUAUCAUAAAUUUACAUAUAGGCUAUAAUUUACAUCAGCGCAGCCCAUAGUGGUUCUAAAAACAAAGGAUGGUCAAGGAUUUCAAGAAUCCUUAGACUAGAUUUCUAUGGACAUACAAGCAAAGAUACAUAAUUCUAUAAUUAAGUAGUUGGUUGCCACGUGUCGAAGCCAAGACAAUUUUGAAGACAUAACAUUGACGGUGAAUUUAGGCAAGAAUGGUUAAAAAGGCACCAAACUCAAGAGGAUCAGUUAAUUCUCAAUGGACAAGCCAUGAGAACAUUAUCGAACAAGUCAAAAACCAAAUGUGGAUAAGGCGGUUCAAUAUAGAAUAUGGAGCGACUCUUGAGGAGGAAGCAACCGAUCACCGAUGGUUACUAAAUUGGCCUAUAAAUACCAUAGUCAAUCCAAUAGAAAGCCUAAGAACACACAAAACUACUUUAUCUUACAUUUUAUCUUUGCUUAGUCUAGCUUAGUUGUAGCUUAAGAUACCCAUCGUAGAUUCAAUUCCGGCGAAUGUCUAUGUCCCGGGUAUGCUGUUGAUUAGAUUCUAGUGCUAACACAUUUUCUAGCGUCAUUAAUUAGAUGUCAACGUUGUGUCCUCAUAUCCAUCUAGGAACAAUGAUUACUAAGUGUUAUUACCAUUGUCCAAUGUCAUCAAUUAGAUUUCGACGUUGUGUCCUCAUAUCCAUCUAGGAGUAGUGUUUACUAGUUGUUAUUCUCAUUGUUCGGCGUCAUUGAUUAGAUUCUGAAAUUGUGACCUCAAACUUAUUAGAAAGUAGUGCUUUCCGAGUGCUUUUGUUAAUAUCCAGUGUUGUCAAAUCAUCUUUGAUAUUGUAUAAACCGCUUUAAUUUUAAUGGACUUUCAUUGUUAUGUUAAAGUGAGUUUAGAUGUGACCGUUGAUUAGAUUUCAACAUUAAUUAUUGUUGGUAUUAAGCUCAUGUUAAGUGCAUUAAGCAACUUCUUUAAAUUUGGGAUUAUAUGAUAUAUAGCCUCCUUCUUAUUUGAUCAUCUCUGUUUAAAGUUAACACAUAACUUGAGUUUCCUUUAAUAAAAACCAAAAUCUAAUACUUGGUGAAAGAUAUUUCGUAGCGAGAUCCAAAAUCGGUGAAAUAGGUGGCUUAAUUUUUCAGAUGAUUUUUUAUAGGUAGGGGGAGCGCUCAAACAAAUUGGACGGGUAGGGCGAUCCUACAAGCGAAAUAAUAGAUGAGAACAGUGAAAAAGACUAUCAUAUUUUGAUGCGUGAUGGGGUGAGUGGAGCUACGUUGGAUGCUCCCGCAUCACUAUUAUAAUGAAACUAGGGGUGAGCAUGUGGGACCGCUCGAACUAGGAACCACCUAGGUUCGACCAGACCGAUCGAUCGGUGCGGUUUGGUUCCCGGUCCCAUAAAUUGGGAACCGGUCCUUUCAAUCCAAUUCUUGAAAGAAAGGGCAGCAUAAUUCUCACAAAAUACAAAUAUUCAUAUUUUAUGGCGUUACAAACUUGGUAGAUGUCACGAUAUCUAUAUCUCGUUAAAUAAAACAAGUAUUUAACAAGAAACUUAUGACAUUCACUUGGUUACAUUAAAAUUAAGUAAUGAUCUAGAUAAAAAAAAAUCACAUUUUAUAAAGUUUAGCACUUAUGACUUACCAUAAAAAAAUCCAUUAUAUACUAUAGUAAUUGUAGUAUUAAAAAUUCACAUUUUCUUGAACUUCAUAAUAUGUUGCACUCUGUUACAACUAAAAUGUCGUCAAUGGUGGUGCAACAUUGUAAAAUUAAAUAAAAAUGGAUUUUAUGACAUCAUGUAAGCUUGAUAACCAUCAAACAUACUAAAUCUUUACAUAAAAUCGUAGAUAAAGAAAAGCAUAUUUUGUAAUGUUUUGUAGUCGAUGACAUCCUUACACUGUAAAUUCGUAAAAUUUAAUUUUUUUGGUUCUUUUGUUUUAUAAGCUUUGUUGAUCGGAUUGAAGUGGAAAGUACCUGGAUAGUCCCUUUUGGUCGUUUGUAACUCAUGGAAUAAAGAGGCUCUAUACGAAAAGCAUAAAAGGACCAAGCAAAAAGUAUAAAGAGAAAGAGAAAAAGAAUAGAAAAGCCCUUUCCGUUGUUCGUAACUCAUGGAAUAAAGAGCCUCUGUACGAAAAACAUAAAAGGACCAAGAAAAAGGUACAAAGAGAAAGAGAGAAGGAAUAGAAAAGCUCUUUUGGUUGUUUUUCUUUUCGAUGACCUAGGAAACCAGUAAGCCGACAACCGGCGGGCAAACCCUAAGGCCCACAAAGAAACCCACCACCCCGUGAAGUGGGUAAGUCCACCUGCGACGUGCUGGGGAUUCGAACUUCUCCCAUUUAUGAGGGGAAGAAAGCUCGAAACCAGCAGCGCCACUCAGUGCGAUGGUAAAGCCCUUUUGGUUGUUCGUAACUCAUGGAAUGAGAAAAGAAUAAAGAGCCUCUGUACGAAAAGCAUAAAAGGACUAAGCAAAAAGUACAAAGAGAUCCUUACCAAAAAAUUAAAUAAUUCCUUACCAAAAAAAAAAAAAUGUACAAAGAGAAAGCUUGUCCAAAAACAAAAAGUAUAAAGAGAAAGAGAGAAGGAAUAGAAAGCCCAGAGCGACGUGCCAUCAACUUCUCCUUUGCCAGAUUAGAAGUGCCGUCUCACCUAGUCGAGCUUGAACGAGUUCGCUUUUCUCCAGAGGUGGCUUAAUUUUCAAAUGACUUGUAAUUACUCUGGUCCAAGUACGUGUUCUAGAUCAAGAGUCAAGGAACACAAAUAUGAACUGUUAAAAAGUUAUAAAUUUAUUACACAAUAAUCAAUUUAAUCUUAAAUUUUUUUCAAUUAUGUCAAUUUAAUCAUGAAUUUUUUAAUGAUUUGUCAAUUUAUUUUUAAAAUUUUAUUUAUGUCAAUAAUCCUAAAUAUUUUGAAGAUUUGCCAAUUUAAUUUUAAACCUAUUAUGUGGAUAUUUUACUAGAAGGGACAUUGGAAAAUUUUCAAAAGAUUUAUGAUUAAAUUGCAAAUCAUCAAAAUGUUUAAAACUAAAUUGAAAAAAUGUUUAUGAUCAAAUUGGUAAAUCGUUAAAAGUUUAAAACAAAAUCAGUAGAAGACUAAAUUGGUUUCCGUACAACAAGUUUAGGACUUUUUGGAUAAUUUUUCCGUUAUUUAUUAAAUACCAAUUUAUCUAAUUUUUAAAUUUUUCUUAGAGAUUUUAAAUAAUAUUUAAAAUUCUAUUGGGAAAGUGAAAAAUGUAAUUGCCUUGCUUCAUGACAAACAAAUAUGCCCAUAAUCUUUUUUUUUUUUUUUCUUACUUCUUCGAGUUUUUGAAAGAAAAUAACAAGGCUCAAUUUUAAUAAACAUCAGGCUAAUUGGAAAAACAAAUUUGACCAUUUCAUAUCCAUGCUCAUUUGCCAUGUAAUAUCGUCUCGUGAUUUACCAUGUCAUAUGUAUUGAUUUUAUUUCUGCUCAUUUUUCAUGUCAUGUCGUUUUGUGAUUUGCCAUGUCAUUGGCAUGCCUUUUUUAUUUAUUUAUCACUCACAUGCGACGGUCUUCGGUCUCAGAGAGUGGAACUCGAACGUGGCAAAGAAGCGACGGUCUUCGGUCGCAGAGAAGAGAAGCGUGGAUUGAAGUGGGCGUGUGAGUGGGAAAUUUGGGAUCGUAUGAAGAAGACACGAGGAUGGAGGGAUGAACUGAAGGGAAAAUAAAAGUAAAACAGAAGCUGCUAGCGUCGGCAACGAAGGAGAGGUGCACGAAGGAGACCGAGGCAGCGGUCUUCGCAACGUGGAGGAAGGGGCUCCGUGGAAAUUGAAAGAGAAGCUGCGUCCGUGGAGAGCAGCUGGCUUGGGGGGAAAGAAGUCAACAUGUUUAUCUCCUCAAUUGAAUCCUUGUCCCCCUUAAUACUUUCCAACAAACAUAAUCCAAGAAUUAACCAAUUUGAUACCAAAAUAUAGCCCCUCAACCUUAAUUCCGAAUUUCACUUAGUUUAAACUUCAAUUUCAUCCUCAAAUUCUCAAAUUUGAAGUCCAAUUUCGUUGAAGAAAAAUCCCACACACUUCCACAAAUUCCUAUCAUCUAGUGGCUCGACUUAGAAGUCGAAAUUCCCUUCAAAUGAACUAAACCGAAUUUCCAUUCGUUUUCCGAAUCGAUUUUCCAUAAAAAUCUCAAAAUCUCCGAAAAUUUUUCAGAAAGUGGGUCGACUUUCCUAAAACGAAUUGUGACAUGACAGAGCUUUCAAUUUUUGAAAUCGAGUUCAAUUUCGCAGUUAAUUUUAAUUCAACGUGAUUUUAGCACAUCCCAAUCUAUCAGGUAGCUUUUAUGAAUUUUUAAUACAAUUGACCCGUGGUCGAUUAUUUUCGAGUCACAAUGUACAUCUUAAACACAUUGACGACUCUUAGUUGUCGAGAAAAUCUCAAGAUUUCAAAUACGGACACAAGGUACGAAAUUGACAAAAAAAUCAAUCUAGUGCCGUUCGAGAGAAAAUUUUCAAUUAAGUGAGAUCACCCACGCACUAAUCACACACCUCUAUCGAAUCGACCUAUCUCUAGUCUCUGAUCAAUUUUGUCAGUGCCGUAAUGACCCUUGCAGAUUAGCAUGAUCGAACAGUUGAUUCCUGAUCGAAUUCUCAUGUCUAUUGUGUUUAGAUUACUUAACGGCUUCACCCAAUAGGCUAGUCAACUCGUGAGUGGCCAACUCAAAGAAAAAUGCUAUAAGUACAUCGAUGAAAAGUCCAACUCGUUUCAUUGAAAUUAGACUUGAAAAUUAGGAUGUCACACAAACAAUUUCUUCACAGGAAGAGGGCAUUUUUGUUCUUCUUCUUUUCCUUUAGAAUACACAAUUCUAUAGCUCCCCACUUAGAAAAAAGCAUGUUCUUUUCUCUUUUAAAGAAGUAACCCUCAAAAUAAUUGCCUUGACGGGCUCUUUUGAGUUAUGGGCUGGGUUAGCCUAACAUGGGUAGCCCAAUAACAAUAAACCCCAUCAAUAAUAUAAACCCUAACCAACAUGACUUCAACCGCUCAAUUCCCCUCUAGCGAUCACCAUAAAGCUAAAUUAACUUAGGGCUUUCGUUGCCCGUGGUGGUGCGAUUGCUUUGGUCCGAAACCGGGCCGUGGGUUGCCUGAAUUUGGCCAGAAUCUCCAAUUUCUCUCUCGCCCAUAUAUAGCCCCAAUUUUUAAUUCAAUUAAAGACCCCACAAAAAAUCAUCAAGGCAAAGAUAUGAAUAGCUCUGAUACCAAAUGUUUGGGAACUAAAAGGAUUGAAGAACUCAAUUAUUCAUGAAUGAACAAAACUUGUGCAUAAUCUGGAUCGAAAGUGGAAAUGUGAAGAAUUAUGUGCUAACCUUCGCCAUUGAUGAAGUUUGAUUGAUAACUUGAAUUGUCGAUGUCAAAUAGUCAGUGAAAGGGUAUUUCUAGNNNNNNNNNNNNNNNNNNNNNNNNNNNNNNNNNNNNNNNNNNNNNNNNNNNNNNNNNNNNNNNNNNNNNNNNNNNNNNNNNNNNNNNNNNNNNNNNNNNNCUAUAUUUAAUUUUAAAAUUAUUAUUUUUAAAUAUUUUAACUAAAUUUAAAUUUAAUUUAAUUAAUUUUUAAAAUUUUUUUUACCACGUCAGCCUAAAACGACGUCGUUUUGGCCACCUUAGCGUCCAAAAUGACGUCGUUUUGGGCGCGCUUCGCCGGAAAAAUGCCAUGUUGGCAUUUUGGCCGGACUUUGGUUGGAGUGACACUCAAGUGAUCCAUUUUUUUUUCGAAUGUAGUACUUAAGUAUACCUUUCGUAAGUUAUGGCACUUAAGUGUCCGUUUGACUAAAGUUAUGGCACUUGAAGCGUUCUUUUGCCCUCAUGUCCCAAGUGACUUUAAAUGUUUCGAAUCUAGUGAUGUGAAAUGAGCCCUCCUUUUGAAUCACAUGCCUAACUUCUUCAGGAGUAGGUAGGUAAAUGGGCAUGUUCCAAUCAUCCAGCUUUUCCUCUUCGAUUAGGCCCUUUAAACACAAAACCAACAAAUUGUUGGUGAGAAGAAAGCGACGAUAAAUCGGAUCGCUGCACAUAAAACAAUUAAUCCAGAACAGCAAUUAUUUAAAGCAGGGAGUCAUUUGGGCCACACUAAUCAAACAAAGAAAGUCUUAUGCGAAAUAGUUCACACGAUGCAUUCAAUAGGCACGCAUUAGCACGGAAGCACACGGAGAUUGUAGAGAGUAAAACCUCUUGGACCAUAUCGCUUAUUGUCAUUCCCAGCAGUUCAUAUAUAUUAGAGACUUGAUCCUCGGACAAAUUGACAGUCGCAUCUCUGCCGAUCAUUGUGAGCAACAUACGACCUCCAAGGAUGAACUCUUCCGAACGAGACUUAAGGAACAAAGUCAUGUCCCUCUUGAAAAGGUCCAAGUAUGCCUCGUGCACGCUCUUGGGGGUUGUCCUUGCCAGAUAAAUAUGGCCUUUGUUUAAGGGCGAUCCGAACUCACUAACGAGGUUGGCGGGCGCCUGAUAAGGUGCAAAAGUAACAUAAUUUGCAUGAAUCAAAUAAAGAAAAGCAAAUAAAUCAAUCUAAAGUGAAUUCAUACUAACUAACCUGAGAGCGCCAGUGGACACUAUAUGAAAAAUUUAUGAAAUGAAGAUAAUGAGCCGGAAACAACCUCCCAUAAUAACUCCCGGGCAUUACUGCUAUGAAACAAGGCCCGAAAUCUCCUCCCUUGUCUCUCCUCAGCUCCUCGUAAAAGCUUGGGAUCGAUCUGAUUAAGGUGUUGAAAUUAUUACCGAAGAGAUCGUUUAGGAAAAUUUGAAACAUGGGUUCCUUCUUAUUUAGUUUCUUUCGUAUCGUAUCGAUGGAAUCGAUCAUUUCCCUAAAAACUAGUAGCGCGUUGGGACCUGAAGAGCAUCCCAAAUCUGCCAGUUUCAAGCAUUCAGGGAAGCUAUCUAGACAGAGCUCUCUUAGGGUUUCUUGCAGUGCUAGUAUUGCCCUGGACAUAACCUGUUUCUGUAUUUAUGCGUACGGACAGCAAGUUAGUUACAACAUUGAAAUCAAUAAUAUGCAUGUUUUGAAUCUUCAUUUUUCUUUUGUACUUAAACCAACCUCUUGCAAGGUUUAUGAAAAAAAGAGCAACAUCUUGCAAGUGAGUUACAUCGCUUUUGAUUGAAACGAUUAGGAAUGUCAAAUAGGCUCAAACUUUGGAUUGGGUUCAGGCGUGUUCUGCUGUCUCAGAGGUGAUUACAACAAAGAAUAUGACGGAAUGACAUGAUUGUCGAGUGAGGUAGGCCAUCGCGGUUCGAUCCACAACAAGUCAUGGCUGAAGGUUGUAGGUGUUGCCUUGGGUUCAAAAAGAGUUGCGUUUGGAUUU
rnacentral:lncRNA from 1 species